rnacentral:lncRNA from 1 species
CACCCACAGCAUGUGCACGUUCCCAGGCUGGAGGUGGAAUCAGAGCGACAGCUGUCAGCCUGCCCCACAGCCACAGCCACACAGGAUCCACACGGUGUCUGCGAGCUUCACCACAGUUCACGACAACGCUGGAUCCCAGGCCCACUGAGCGAGGCCAGGGAUCGAACCUGCACUCUCAUGGGUCCUACUCGGAGUCGUUUCCCCUGCGCCACAGCAGGAACUCCAAUCAUGGCACUUUAGUGGAGAAAGAACAGAGGGUUCCAGUCCAGGAGGUGGGCCAGGUGUUACUGUUCCACCCUCGGGCAUCCAGGUCUGUUCUGAGCUCGUCCCGUCCUCCGUAGACGGGGGUUUUGUCCUUUCCUGACUGCCUCAGGCAGUUGUGCGAGGAGAACACGCAGCAGGGGAGAGGCUAAGACGACAGGGGAGAGGCCCCGUGGGUGGACAGAACAUCCUCGUUUACCUGGAACCUUGACAUAACCUGGAACUUUUCUCCCCAGUUGGUGACCCCUUCUCAUGACCUGUUUUUCAUUUCCCUCGAUCCAGUGUGGCGUCUUCCCAUUUUCUGUUUUUCUGGUUGCUCAUUCACGAGUAUAUUGGCUGCUGUGUUUUUCAUUAUUUACCAUGUUACCAAGGUUUAUUUUUUAUUAUCUUUUUUUUAUUGACAUAUUUGCAACGUUACGUACGUUUCAGGUGUACAAUAUGGUGAUUCGCAAUUUGCAAAGGUUAUGGUUUAUAGUUAUCAUAAAACAUCGGUUCUAUUCCCUUGCUGCACAAUAUAUCCCCGUCGCGUCUUUAUUUUAUACAUAGUAGUUUGUGCUAUUAACCCCCUACCUGUACCUUCACCAACCCCCCUUCCCUCUCCCCAUCAUAACCACUAGCUAGUUCUCUGUGAGUCUGUUUCUUUUGUGUUACAGGCACUAGCUUGUUUUAUUUCCUAGAUUCCCCAUAUAAGUGAUGUCAUAUAGUGCAUAUAGUAUUCGUUUUUCUCUGUCUCGCUUAUUUCACUUAACACAAUGCCCUCCAAGUCCAUCCAUGUUGCUGCAUAUGGUAGCAUUCUUUUUUAUGGCUGAAUAUAUAUAUAUAUAUAUCUCACCUCCUCUUUGUCCUUUGCUCUGGUGAUGAAUACCUAGGUUGCUUCCAUGUUUUGGCCAUUGUAAAUACGCUGCUGUGAACACUGGGAGGCAUGUAUGCUUCCGAAUCAGUGUUUUAGUGUAACCAAGCUUUAAAUACGAAAUUCUGUCACCAAAAUGAUCUUUAAACAUUUCAUGAUAACCUUAUAACCUUCCCACUUUAAGGGAUUAAUUCUUCACAUUUAUUCUGCCUUUCUUGCUUGCUUGCUUGCUUGCUUGCUUCACCUGGGGAUUGAAUCCGAGCAACCCUGGAUCCUUGACUCACUGCACUGGGCCAGGGAUUGAACCUGUGCCUCCACUGACAAGAGCCCCUGCAGUCAGAUUCUUAACCCACUGCACCAUAGCAGGAACUCCAUAUUCGGCAGCUUUGGAGCUGAUCUUAGCAUUCUGUAGCUUUGCAUUUGGUACUGAGAACCCAGGAUUUGCUUUCUGGCUUGGGAAGUUAAUUGACUUGAGGAUGUUUCUCCAUUCCCCGCCCCCCACUCUCCCUUUCCUGGGGGCGUCAGGUCCCUCUGCCUUCACUCUGUUCUCAGAGCAGAUUAGCAGGACUUUGGCCUCCAGCAACAAACUAAUACCCACUAGACUCCAGAGCUCUCUUUCUGUCCUUCUUUUGCUCCAGAUGAAAGUCCCGUUUCAAAGACUGUUAACACCUGAUUUGUUGUAAGGCAUUCUGGAAAGUACUGUUUCCUACACCACUCUUAUACUCCAGUAUCAGAGGUAUGGUGGCCUGUUUCUUCUUUUGAGGACGUGUCUCAUUUUUCGUUUGUUUGUUUUUCAGGGCUGCACUUGUGGCAUAUGGAAGUUCCCAGGCUAGGGGUCUAAUCGAAGCUACAGCUGCCUGUCUACACCGCAGCCACAGCAACUCAGGAUCCAAGCCCCAUCUUCGACCUACACCACAGCUCAGGGCAACGACGGAUCCUUAACCCACCGAGUGAGGCCAGGGAUCAAACCCACGUCCUCAUGGAUCCUAGUCGGGUUUGUUAACCACUGAGCCGCGAAGGGAACUCCAAGGAUAGGUCUCAUGGAUGUAAUUCUAAAAUUACAUUUUAAAUCCACAGAUGAAGAAUAUGUGUUUCUUCAUGUCACACAUCAAGAGAGACUUUUUUUUUCGUCUUUUUGUCUUUUAGGGUCUCACCUGUGGCAUAUGCAGGUUCCCAGGCUAGGGGCUGAACUGGAGCUAUAGCCGCCAGCCCACGCCACAGCCACAGCGAAGCAAUGCCAGAUCUGAGCCACAUCUGCCACCUACACCACAGCUCAGAGCAAGGCCAGAUCCUUCACCCAGUGAGCGAGGCCAGGAAUCAAAUCCGCAUCCUCAUGGAUGCUAGUCAGGCUAACUGCUGAGCCACGACGGGAACUCCAAGAGAGACGUUUUAAUUCAUUCUGAAAUCUAUAUCGAAGAAUGCCUUAAAGCAAAAUUGCAACUUUACAGCUAUAUUAAUUACAAAGUAGAUCAAGUCUGAGUACAGUGACCCAGAGUCAGACCAGAGGCCCAUCUGAACUCAGAUUCUUUCUCCUCAAGCUUUUUACUGUGGUGCAGGCCAGUGGGUGGAGUGGGGUAUGUGAUAAGGUGGAAAGAUAUGUUUUCCUUCCCCGGUCUCCAGAAUGUCUGGAAUGUUCUUCAAAGGUGGAUCUGUCAGCAUGACCUUUGCUAAACUCCUUGAAUCCCUUUAUAUUUUAUCUGCUAUCUCUUGGGACAUACGUUUCAUAUUUUUAUUAUCAACAGUAGCGCAGCGCUUCCUCUUUUUGUCCUAAAAUUACCUCUUUCAAGCUUCGGGGAGUGCCUUCUGCCUUUAGGAUUGGGAAGCGAUGACUCCAUCAGUUCCACUCCAUCCCGGAGGCUCCGAUGGCAUCUGCGUAGCCUUUGUUUGCCGAGACUGGGAAAGCUCACUUGGGUUCAGAAAAUGGAAACUUUUCCAAGAAGCCUUCCUUCAGGCGCCAGAUCAUUUUCAGGCGUGGGUGCAAUGGCCCUACUGACAUGUAGGUGCUGGACGUCGACAAAGGGUUAAGCGUCACAGGCAGUCUUGGUCGACGUUCAAACACAGGAUGGUUCCAAAACACAUAACAUACACUCCAAAAUAAGCCAGGCUCGCCCCUCUUCAUGGGAUCACUGCAGACAUGCCAAAUUCUACAGCCCGUCAAUUGUAUACAUAUGGUAAAACUUUUCAUACCAGUCAACGUUUGCCUCCAUAUGAUUUUAAUUAGGGACAGAUUGGGUAGCUGGAAGAAAGCACUGGAAUGAAAGAGAAUAAAGUUAAACACAAGCCCUUUUAUAAAGGACCCUGGUUUAGGUUAAACCAUAUGCAAAGGACCGCUGCGGACAGUGAGAGGAAUGCGUGGUUUGGGGGCAACUGGGGAUGGGACGUGACUCCUCGUCCACCUGGGGACCCAGUGCUGAUCUGGUCGGAGAGUUUAGGGACACGGUGCUUAUAUUUCUUUUGAAGUUGGGACUUAGGCUGAUGCUCACGCCUUGUUACUGACAAUCGUCAGGCCCCAGGACAGAGCUGUCUUCUGCAGGACUAAAUUGCUCUCCGGGCAAAGAGCGCCUAUACUUCGAAAGGUUCAGGAGUUGGAUACAGCAGAUUUGUAGUUUUGAAACCCUCCCCUGGAUACAUACUGUAUUUUCUUAGGCUGUAUUCCUUGUUUCUCUGAAGUUAAUUGGACUGGGGAGUUCCCACUGUGGCUCAGCGGGUUACAAACCCGACUAAUAUUCAUGAGGAUGUGGGUAUGAUCUCUGGCCUCGAUCAGUGGGUUAAGGAUCUGGUGUUGCUGUGAGCUGUGGUGCAGGUCACAGAUGCAGCUCGGACCUGGCAUUGCUGUGGCUGUGGUA